GUUGAACGCUGGCGGCAGGCCUAACACAUGCAAGUCGAACGGUAACAGGAAGAAGCUUGCUUCUUUGCUGACGAGUGGCGGACGGGUGAGUAAUGUCUGGGAAACUGCCUGAUGGAGGGGGAUAACUACUGGAAACGGUAGCUAAUACCGCAUAACGUCGCAAGACCAAAGAGGGGGACCUUCGGGCCUCUUGCCAUCGGAUGUGCCCAGGUGGGAUUAGCUAGUAGGUGGGGUAACGGCUCACCUAGGCGACGAUCCCUAGCUGGUCUGAGAGGAUGACCAGCCACACUGGAACUGAGACACGGUCCAGACUCCUACGGGAGGCAGCAGUGGGGAAUAUUGCACAAUGGGCGAAAGCUUGAUGCAGCCAUGCCGCGUGUAUGAAGAAGGCCUUCGGGUUGUAAAGUACUUUCAGCGGGGAGGAAGGGAGUAAAGUUAAUACCUUGGCUCAUUGACGUUACCCGCAGAAGAAGCACCGGCUAACUCCGUG
rnacentral:rRNA from 1 species